rnacentral:rRNA from 1 species
GACGAACGCUGGCGGCGUGCCUAACACAUGCAAGUCGAACGGAGUAUUCAGCAAUGGAUACUUAGUGGCGAACGGGUGAGUAACGCGUAGACAACCUGCCUUCUAGAUGGGGACAACACCGCGAAAGUGGUGCUAAUACCGAAUGUUGUAACGAAUCCGCAUGGAUUUGUUACUAAAGGUGGCCUCUGUUUAUAAGCUAUCACUAGAAGAUGGGUCUGGGUCUGAUUAGCUAGUUGGAGAGGUAAUGGCUCACCAAGGCGACGAUCAGUAGCCGGUCUGAGAGGAUGAACGGCCACACUGGGACUGAGACACGGCCCAGACUCCUACGGGAGGCAGCAGUGGGGAAUCUUCCGCAAUGGACGAAAGUCUGACGGAGCAACGCCGCGUGAGUGAAGAAGGUUUUCGGAUCGUAAAGCUCUGUCUUCAGGGACGAAUGUGCAGCUUGUGAAUAAUGAGUUGUAAUGACGGUACCUGAGGAGGAAGCCACGGCUAACUACGUGCCAGCAGCCGCCGUAA